rnacentral:rRNA from 1 species
GACGAACGCUGGCGGCGUGCUUAACACAUGCAAGUCGAACGGAAAGGCCCUGCUUUUGUGGGGUGCUCGAGUGGCGAACGGGUGAGUAACACGUGAGUAACCUGCCCUUGACUUUGGGAUAACUUCAGGAAACUGGGGCUAAUACCGGAUAGGAGCUCCUGCUGCAUGGUGGGGGUUGGAAAGUUUCGGCGGUUGGGGAUGGACUCGCGGCUUAUCCGCUUGUUGGUGGGGUAGUGGCUUACCAAGGCUUUGACGGGUAGCCGGCCUGAGAGGGUGACCGGCCACAUUGGGACUGAGAGACGGCCCAGACUCGUACGGGAGGCAGCAGUGGGGAAUAUUGCACAAUGGGCGGAAGCCUGAUGCAGAAACGCCGCGUGCGGGAUGACGGCCUUCGGGUUGUAAACCGCUUUCGCCUGUGACGAAGCGUGAGUGACGGUAAUGGGUAAAGAAGCACCGGCUAACUACGUG